rfam:Salmo salar isolate Sally breed double haploid chromosome ssa10, whole genome shotgun sequence.
UGUAUUCACUACUGUAAGUCGCUCUCGAUAAGAGCGUCUGCUAAAAUGACUAAAA